GAUGAACGCUGGCGGCGUGCCUAAUACAUGCAAGUCGAGCGAACGGACGAGAAGCUUGCUUCUCUGAUGUUAGCGGCGGACGGGUGAGGAACACGUGGAUAACCUACCUAUAAGACUGGGAUAACUUCGGGAAACCGGAGCUAAUACCGGAUGAUAUUUUGAACCGCAUGGUUCAAAAGUGAAAGACGGUCUUGCUGUCACUUAUAGAUGGAUCCGCGCUGCAUUAGCUAGUUGGUAAGGUAACGGCUUACCAAGGCAACGAUGCAUAGCCGACCUGAGAGGGUGAUCGGGCACACUGGAACUGAGACACGGUCCAGACUCCUACGGGAGGCAGCAGUAGGGAAUCUUCCGCAAUGGGCGAAAGCCUGACGGAGCAACGCCGCGUGAGUGAUGAAGGUCUUCGGAUCGUAAAACUCUGUUAUUAGGGAAGAACAUAUGUGUAAGUAGCUGUGCACAUCUUGACGGUACCUGAUCAGAAAGCCACGGCUAACUACGUG
rnacentral:rRNA from 1 species